CGCAAGCCUGACGGAGCAAGACCGCGUGGGGGAUGACGGCCUAAUGGUUGUAAACCCCUUUUCUCUGGGAAGAAGACUGACGGUACCAGAGGAAUCAGCCUCGGCUAACUCCGUGCCAGCAGCCGCGGUAAUACGGAGGAGGCAAGCGUUAUCCGGAAUUAUUGGGCGUAAAGCGUCCGUAGGUGGUUAUUCAAGUCUGCUGUCAAAGCGUGGGGCUUAACUCCAUAGAGGCAGUGGAAACUGAGUGACUAGAGUGCGGUAGGGGUCGAGGGAAUUCCCAGUGUAGCGGUGAAAUGCGUAGAUAUUGGGAAGAACACCAGUGGCGAAGGCGCUCUACUGGGCCGUAACUGACGCUGAGGGACGAAAGCUAGGGGAGCG
rnacentral:rRNA from 1 species